CUGUUCAGACUAGCCAUGCACGUCUAAGUACAAACUAAAUGAUGGUGAAACUGCAAAUGGCUCAUUACAACGGUUAUGAUGUACCCGGGAGUUCCGAUGGAUAUUUCCAGUAACACUAGAACUAAUACAUGUCCCUGCGUUUAUUAGUUUCGCACAGUCCGUCGCUGAGUCAUGGUAAACAGUUGAUCGACUCGACGUCCCGGAACAGUUUCCGCCCCAUCAGCUUCGAUGGUUGGGUAUUGGCCUACCAUUGCAACAACGGGUAACGAGGAAUUAGGGUUUGAUUUCGGAGAGGGAGCCUGAGAAACGGCUACCACAUCUACGGAUGGCAGCAGGCGCGCAAAUUACCCAAUGCAGACACUGUGAGGUAGUGACGAGAAAUAAUAAAGCGGGACUUCUGUUUCGCUAUUAUAAUGAGGAAUAACCAAAGGUCAUUCCGAUUAGCAACUGAUGGGAAAGUCUGGUGCCAGCAGCCGCGGUAAUACCAGCGUCAGUAGCAU
rnacentral:rRNA from 1 species